AACUUGUGAAAAGACUUAAAACCAAGACUGCACAGGAUGCAGGAGAACAGGGAUUUUAUUUACUUAUUUAUUUUUAACAAAAGACUAUUGUAUCUUAGUUAUUUCAUAAUCAUUAAAAAAAAUUAUAGAAAAUUGUUCUGAUAAAUCGAUGACAAAAUGACAUCCUUCCUGUCAUUCCAUUGAUU